AUUUUGCCUAUGAUGGUGUUAAAUAUACUAUGAGCUUAUGCUAUGAACAGAAACAUAAAUCUGAGGCUCUUU